GAAGGCAGCAGGCGCGCAAAUCACCCACUCCCGACACGGGGAGGUAGUGACAAUAUGAAACAAUAUACGGCUUUAUUGUCGUAUAACUGGAAUGAGUACAAUUUAAAUCCCUUAACGAGGAACAAUUGAAGGGCAAGUCUGGUGCCAGCAGCCGCGGUAAUUCCAGCUCCAAUAGCGUAUAUUAAAGUUGUUGCAGUUAAAAAGCUCAUAAUUGGACCUUGAGCCUGGACAUGCGGACCGCCUCACGACGAGUACUGUCUUGCUGGGCCUUUCCUCUUGGCGAUCUGUGAUUUCGGCCGCAGGGAACCAGGACCUUUACUUUGAAAAACUUAGAGUGUUCAAAGCAGGUUUUACGCCUGAAUAUAUUAGCAUGGAAUAAUAAAAUAGGACGUGCGGUUCUAUUUUGCUGGUUUUUGGGAUCGCCGAAAUGAUUAAUAGGGACAGCCGGGGGCAUUAGUACUCACAUGCUACAGGUGAAAUUCUUGGAUUUUGAGAAUACUAACUUCCGCGAAAUCAUUUGACAAGGAUGUUUUCAUUA
rnacentral:rRNA from 1 species